rnacentral:lncRNA from 1 species
GGGGAGAGAUGGUGGACGAGCGGGGUGCAGAGCGAUGGAGGAUGCUGGGGGAGGGAGGGGUACAGGGGAGGGAGGAUGCAGGAGAGACAGGUGCGGGAGGAGGGAGGGUGCAGGGGGAGGGAGGGUUGCAGGAUGCGGAGGGGGGGAGGGAGGGUAGAGGGCAGGAUGCGAUGCAGGGAGAUCUGGAGCCAACAGACGGACAGAGGUGGAGACAGGCGCAGAGGAGACUAAGAGAGCAGGAGAGACGCUGACCACCGGGGGCUCGGGCAGGGCAGUAGAGAGCUGGAGGGACAGAGCCAGGACAUCAAUGGGGGCCGUGGGAGCCAGGCCGCAGGGACACAGGGGAGCAAACCUGGAGAACAUGGCGUGCAAGAGAGCCGCAGAGACUGCUGGAUGCAGACGGGACUGGCAGGGAGCGGGGUGCACACGUGCGGAGGGACUGGGGGACCUGCGGAGACAUCGGAGAGGUGCAGGCAGAGAAGGGGAAGAAUUCAGAAUUGCCGACCCAGGACUCAUGCCUGUCCACGUUCCCCAGGCUCACUUGCCCAGGUCUCCUGGGGCUGGGGGAACUGGGAUUCUCCCCCUGCUUGCACAGAGAAACCUCCGGAGUUCCCUGAGACCUUGUCUAUCCCCUUAGACCCUCAUGUGUUCUGUGCUUGUCCCAGGCCCUGAAAUCUUUGUGCAGUUUCCGGUGUGAGCCAUGAGUCCUCACCAGCACGUCCCAUGUGCUGAACCAUGCAGAUGCCCACAUUCGAAUUCCCCCAACUUUGCUGUUGUGAUUAUGGAGCAUCCUGAUUUCCGGUGGGCCCAAUGUCACUCUACGGUCCUUGCAGGAGGCACGAAGGAGGCCCAGAGUCACGGUCACAGGAGGUGAGGCCAUGUGGCUGUACACUGAGGAACCAGGGCAGCUUCCGACCAGCCGGAACAGGCAGAGAGAACACAUUCUCUCCAGCAGCCUCAGAAGGAACUUCGUUUUGGACUUUCGUUCUCCAGCACUGCCAGAUAAUAAAUGUGUGUUGUUUUAAGCCGCCAA